GGGGAGGCAGCAGUGGGGAAUAUUGCACAAUGGGGGAAACCCUGAUGCAGCCAUGCCGCGUGUGUGAAGAAGGCCUUCGGGUUGUAAAGCACUUUCAGUAGGGAGGAAGGUAGUGUAGUUAACACCUGCAUUAUUUGACGUUACCUACAGAAGAAGCACCGGCUAACUCCGUGCCAGCAGCCGCGGUAAUACGGAGGGUGCGAGCGUUAAUCGGAAUUACUGGGCGUAAAGCGCAUGCAGGCGGCCUGUUAAGUCAGAUGUGAAAGCCCGGGGCUUAACCUCGGAAUUGCAUUUGAAACUGGCAGGCUAGAGUCUUGUAGAGGGGGGUAGGAAUUUCAGGUGUAGCGGUGAAAUGCGUAGAGAUCUGAAGGAAUACCAGUGGCGAAGGCGGCCCCCUCGGACAAAGACUGACGCUCAGAUGCGAAAGCGUGGGGAGCAAACAGGAUUAGAUACCCUGGUAG
rnacentral:rRNA from 1 species